rnacentral:rRNA from 1 species
AUUGAACGCUGGCGGCAUGCCUUACACAUGCAAGUCGAACGGCAGCACGGGAGCAAUCCUGGUGGCGAGUGGCGAACGGGUGAGUAAUAUAUCGGAACGUGCCCAGUCGUGGGGGAUAACGUAGCGAAAGCUACGCUAAUACCGCAUACGAUCUAUGGAUGAAAGCGGGGGAUCGCAAGACCUCGCGCGAUUGGAGCGGCCGAUAGCAGAUUAGGUAGUUGGUGAGGUAAAGGCUCACCAAGCCGACGAUCUGUAGCUGGUCGUAGAGGACGACCAGCCACACUGGGGCUGAGACACGGCCCAGACUCCUACGGGAGGCAGCAGUGGGGAAUUUUGGACAAUGGGCGCAAGCCUGAUCCAGCAAUGCCGCGUGCAGGAUGAAGGCCUUCGGGUUGUAAACUGCUUUUGUACGGAACGAAACGGUGAGCUCUAAUACAGUUUGCUAAUGACGGUACCGUAAGAAUAAGCACCGGCUAACUACGUGCCAGCCGCCGCGGUAACAC